UACGGAGGAUCCAAGCGUUAUCCGGAUUUAUUGGGUUUAAAGGGUGCGUAGGCGGCUUUUUAAGUCAGGGGUGAAAGACGGUGGCUCAACCAUCGCAGUGCCUUUGAUACUGAAGAGCUAGAUUGAACUUGAGGUAGGCGGAAUGUGACAAGUAGCGGUGAAAUGCAUAGAUAUGUCACAGAACACCGAUUGCGAAGGCAGCUUACUAAGGUUUUAAUGACGCUGAGGCACGAAAGCGUGGGGAUCAAACAGG
rnacentral:rRNA from 2 species